GUUGACGAAAACACAUAGAAAAAAACCAUAAGUUCACUUCUCUUCUCUUUCUGCCUCAAAAUUCUCAUUCUUCUUUCUCAUUUCAAAAAAACGCCGCCGCCCUCUUUCUUCCUCCGACGCGGUGGCCGGUGAGCCACAAGGGUGGCACCGCCGCGUCGGAGAACAUAAACAUAUCUGAUUUCAAAAAAAGAAAUCAGUUUUACAAAUCCAUUUUGAUUUAAAGCCCGAACCCGAAAACGAAACUUCAAAGAAAAAUAUAGAUCGCUCUAGAUCCAAAGAUGAAAGUGGAUCUGAGAAAAAAUUAUACAUCCUUCUCUGUUCUGGAUUUCGUUCCUGUUUGUUUCACUAAGGCUGGUUCGGUUGUUUGCAGAUUUGUGCCUGGCUUUGUUUGAAAAUCUUGUUGAUGAUAUGGGUUUCGCAAAUUUUUUGAGGUUGUUAGUUGUGAAUGGGUUUUGGACUGUUGUUAUGAGAUAAUGUGUCUUUGAUGAUAAAGCUUAUGGAAAUU
rnacentral:lncRNA from 1 species